rnacentral:tmRNA from 1 species
CCCCUUUUCAAACACCCCCACGCCCCCUAUAUCUAACCUGUCUCCUUCGGGGGACUAUGGGCAUAAACGUGCGUGAAAUAAGCGGAUCGGACCCGGGGGCGGUACCCGGCGGCUCCACCAAACAUCCCUCGUUGGGGGCAGAUGGGGCCGAAAUAGGAUCGACGAACGUGUAAAGACGUGGCUUUGUCCCGGUGAGCUACCACCGUUAUCGGUGCGAAAAGUACAAUUGCCAACGACAAUCGUGCUCCGAUCGCUCUGGCUGCCUAAGCAGUCCGAAAGAUCGAAAAUUAAGUCCUUGGGCUUUGCAGCCUAAGGCGGGGUUCGGAGGUACCUGGCAACAGAAACCUCCACU